rnacentral:lncRNA from 1 species
UUUAUUUUAUUCUACUUUUAUUUUUAUCUUGUUUAAUUUUCAUUUUCAGGGAUGUUGACCCUCAUAAUUGAUCGGAUUAUUUCCUUUUGUCCUGCUUAAUGCUUAGAUAUGGUGGGUCAACUAUUAUUUCUAUGGCCAUGUUAGUUUACCUCUUCUUCCUGCCACCAUUUUCCUAUUAUGCAACAGCAAACUUGUUCAAUAUAGAUGUGAUUAGCGAGCUGAUCGACCCAUUAUACAUAAUGAAGUGUAAUAUUAUCGAAGAAAAAGUUGGCCUUAAAGAAUCAAAUGUUCAUAGAUAUGCUGUUGAAAUCGCCACAGGCAGAUUAGAACCACAUGACUGCUGGUCCUAGGUAUGGAACCUUUCUUCUUUUUAAAUUUUACAGAGAUGUACCUAGGUGUGAUAUUAGGCAUAAAAGGUGCACUUGGAAUAUAAUGCAAGAUGGUUUAUAUCUCUAUUUUAAUUUCGAGCAAAAUUUAAUUUUCAACUGGUCAAUGUCACCUAUAUCAUUCAAUGUAGAUGUCAUAAGUGAAUUGAUUGAUCCAUUAUACAUCGACUGUAAAUUGAACGGCAUAAUUAUUCCGACAGUCGGCCUUAAACAGAGUGUGAUAUUAGGCAUAAAAGAUGCACUUGGAAUAUAAUGCAAGAUGGUUUAUAUCUCUAUUUUAACUUCGAGCAAAAUUUAAUUUUCACCUAUAUCAUUCAAUGUAGAUGCAUGUAAUUAGUGAGUUGAUUGAUCCACUAUACAUCGACUGUAAAAUGAACGACAUAAUCAUUCCGAUAGUCGGCCUUAAACAGCCAAAUCUUCAUAGGUAUAUCGUUCCAGUUAUUAAUACUGGAGCAUUAGUAUUUAAUCUUUUAUGAUUUGGGUUUCCCUAUACUCUUCAUACAAUUGUUUUAAUUCUUCACAAAAAUCUUCCGCACAAGCAGAGGAAGAUCUAGGUGGGAGGAAGGGAUUCAACCGAACCUCUUUCGUCGAAAC